rnacentral:rRNA from 1 species
AUUAAUACCCCAUAAUAUAUAUCUUAGGCAUCUUUGAUAUAUUAAAGCUCCGGCGGUUAGAGAUGGGCAUGCGGGACAUUAGCUUGUUGGUAAGGUAACGGCUUACCAAGGCUGCGAUGUCUAGGGGGUCUGAGAGGACUAUCCCCCACACUGGUACUGAGACACGGACCAGACUCCUACGGGAGGCAGCAGUGAGGAAUAUUGCGCAAUGGAGGAAACUCUGACGCAGCCAUGCCGCGUGCAGGAAUAAGGCCCUAUGGGUUGUAAACUGCUUUUAUACGGGAAGAAAUAUAUCUACGUGUAGAUAUUUGACGGUACCGUACGAAUAAGGAUCGGCUAACUCCGUGCCAGCAGCCGCGGUAAUACGGAGGAUCCAAGCGUUAUCCGGAUUUAUUGGGUUUAAAGGGUCCGCAGGCGGGAAAUUAAGUCAGUGGUGAAAUCCUACAGCUUAACUGUAGAACUGCCAUUGAUACUGGUUUUCUUGAGUACACCUGAAGUGGGCGGAAUGUGUCAUGUAGCGGUGAAAUGCUUAGAUAUGACACAGAACACCGAUUGCGAAGGCAGCUCACUAAAGUGUCACUGACGCUGAGGGACGAAAGCGUGGGGUAGCGAACAGGAUUAGAUACCCUGGUAGUCCACGCCCGUAAACGAUGAUCACUAGAUGUUGGCGAUAUACUGUCAGUAUCUGAGCGAAAAGUAUUAAGUGAUCCACCUGGGGAGUACGGUCGCAAGAUUGAAAC